AAGCGGGGUCUCCAGACGAAUACCUCCGCAGACAGACGCGCGCAAGUUGCUCAUUGCAACGCUGAGCUUCUCACAUAUCCUGUGUUUUCAAUUUUUCACGUGCCAACAAGCCACCACUGUCCGCACCGCAGCCAUGGAGCAACCAAAAGGCAUCAACAUCCUCAUCACCGGCACCCCCGGAACGGGGAAGACUUCGAUGGCGGAGAUGAUCGCCGCGGAGCUGGACGGCUUUCAGCACGUAGAGGUGGGUAAGCUUGUGAAAGAGAACCACUUCUACACCGAGUACGACACGGAGCUGGACACGCACAUUAUCGAGGAGAAGGACGAGGAUCGCCUUCUCGAUUUUAUGGAGCCCAUAAUGGUGAGUCGGGGCAACCACGUCGUCGAUUAUCACUCCAGCGAGCUGUUUCCCGAGCGCUGGUUUCACAUGGUGGUCGUGCUCCACACAUCCACGGAGGUUCUGUUUGAGCGCCUGACCAAGCGGCAGUACAGCGAGGCAAAGCGAGCGGAGAACAUGGAGGCUGAGAUUCAGUGUAUCUGCGAGGAGGAGGCGCGCGACGCCUACGAGGAUGACAUUGUGCUGGUUCGCGAGAACGACACGUUGGAGCAGAUGGCCGCCACUGUGGAAGAGAUUCGCGAGCGGGUGGAGGUGCUAAAGGUCGAGCGCGGCCUCUGAGGUGAGACGCUAGAGAGGAUGGUAGGUGCCCCACGCGCCACUUUAGCAGAAGGUGCUCUCAGUACCUCGGACGAUACUCUUGUUUUUAUAGUGUAUUGCUGCGUGUGCGUCUGUUGGGUGCCCACAAGAGCGAAAGCCCACAAGGAGCCCACUUGGGUGGCGCUCCCCAUGUCUCAUUGGGGGGGGGCGUGCGGGCGGGCCUUUUUGCUUUCUUCAUGACUCCCCCGCCCAUGGAAGGUGCGUGCACGUGCCGCGCACAGGCUGCAUGUGUGCUCGAACUGCUGUUGUGCAUCUUUUUUUUUUACUCCCUUGUGUGUGUGCAAGUGUGCACCUCUGUAGAGGCGAUGAACGCGCAGGAUGGCGCAACAUGUUCGAGUCUCGGCCAAAACUUGACGUUUAACGUGACGCUUAAAGAAGAUAAACAUUUCGAUGAACGAGCGCUAACGAAAAGAGCCACCAAUCGACAUCGGUGCCACUUCUACGCUCCACGGAGGAGAUAGGCGUGGAUGGGGCCACUGCAAAGUCUCUGCCAUGUGUGCGUGUGUGUCGUUCAUCUACAGAACCUGCACGAUGGCACCGCUCCGGCUUUGCCAUUAGGACCUCUGUGCGCGCUCAGAACGAAGAAGGGGUGCUGCACCGGCACCGACACAAAUGCACGGCUGCCCACCAUGCGAGUGUACGACCCAGUGAUUGCACAAGGUCAGACCCGACUCCGCGCUUACUGCAGCAGCAGCGAAAACCGGUCUGGUAGCCUUUGCAUCCUUUUCUCGCCACCAAGAGACACACUUUUCAGGAGAGAGUUGUACUGCCAUGCUCAUCCAUUAGUCGACUUGCGUGCAGUGUUACCACAGUAUUCGCAUGCCGCCAAGCGCCCAUGUCAUUGCUCCCAUCUUCUCUCCUCUCCUCUCCGUUGAGUGUAUGCGUCGUGGGUGACGGCCUCGGUCGUGCGAGCGCCGAGGAAG
rnacentral:misc_RNA from 1 species